AGUGAACGCUGGCGGCAGGCCUAACACAUGCAAGUCGAACGGCAGCACAGUAAGCUCUUGCUCUUACGGGUGGCGAGUGGCGGACGGGUAAGGAAUACAUCAGCAUCUACUUUUUCUUGGGUGAUAACGUAGGACAACUUACGCUAAUAGAUCAUACGACCUACCGGUGAGAUCAAGGGUUAUUCGCGCUUUUCGUGUUAGAUAGAGCCGAUGUCGGGUUAGCUAGUUGGCGGGGUAAAGGCACACCAAGGCAACGAUGCGUAGCCGAUCUGAGAGGAUGAUCGGCCACACUGGAACUGAGACACGGUCCAGACUCCUACGGGAGGCAGCAGUAGGGAAUAUUGGACAAUGGGCGAAAGCCUGAUGCAGCCACACCGCGUGAGUGAAGAAGGUCUUCGGGUCGUAAAGCUCUGUUGUUGGGAAAGAAAAUCAGCAUGUGUAAACGCGGCUAUCUUGACGGUACCUAAUGAAUAAGCAACGGCUAACUUCGUG
rnacentral:rRNA from 1 species